UACGUAGGGGGCAAGCGUUGUCCGGAAUCAUUGGGCGUAAAGAGCGUGUAGGCGGCCCGGUAAGUCCGCUGUGAAAGUCGGGGGCUCAACCCUCGAAUGCCGGUGGAUACUGUCGGGCUAGGGUGCGGAAGAGGCGAGUGGAAUUCCUGGUGUAGCGGUGAAAUGCGCAGAUAUCAGGAGGAACACCGAUUGCGAAGGCAGCUCGCUGGGACGUAACUGACGCUGAGACGCGAAAGCGUGGGGAGCAAACAGG
rnacentral:rRNA from 1 species